AUGGCUCACAUCGAUGGAAGCCUUACUUGAGGACAUCUGUACCCUGGAAAAGGAUAAGAUUCAUUUGGCAGCACACUGUUUCGAAAAGGAUGCACAAAUUUGGUGGAUUGAGUCAAUGGACUCUAGAAGACUGUGAAGUAGUUGGAUAACCCUUGUGACCUCUGGGAAAUUUAAUCCAUCUGUUUUGGAUAAAGGAAUACCCGCAGAUCGAGCAGAAUACUUCGAGCGGGGAUUAUGGCCUGGGAUAUUCAAAAUGAUCAAUGCUUUAAAGCUGAAGUCAUUUGAAGAAGUCCUGUAUCGAGCUCUUUGGGUGGAGCGUGGAAAUGUGAUUACGCGUGAUGAACGCGAAUCGUGUGAAAGAGAACGAGAAAUCGGGGACAGGAUAUAGAGUUGUUGUUGGAAUUAACGACAAGUGGACUUCAAGAUAAAUCAUGGGGGCUAUAGCAGGAUGCCUGUUCAGAGAAAAGUAGGUAGAAAGAUUUUCUAUAUGCUAAGUUAUGAUUAGUACACAAUGUAAGAUAUUGGAAACAAGGCCGAUUAUGAAAUAAGGAAACUUCGACAGAAAAUGUGUCAAAGUUAUACGCAGUCCUAAGCUAUGAACUUCUGAGGAAGUAUCAAAUUGAAUCUUAUGGUCGAAGUUAAGUGAUAUUUGUGCGGAAGAUGCGCGAAUUGAUUAGUGAAGAAUGAAGGAUAAGCGACUGAUAUUGAGCUCAAGUGGUUAAUCGAGUGUUAAGUGACACCCGGAAGGGAGUUGUAGUCAUUAUCCUAGAAUUCGGAAAGGUCUGUUGGUUGACCUUUUACUUCGAGAGGAAUGAUUAUGGUGACUUUCACACGGCAAGGCCGCGUGUAGUAUUGGAUAAGUGAAGUGAUGGUAAUUUGCCUUCAGUAAGAAGAUUGUAUACUUGGAAACGAUACGAACUCCGAGCGGUACAUGCAAGAGUGUGAUAGAAACUUGGAUUUGACCCUAGCAUGCAGGGAUGAAGAGAAUAUAUUGUCUAUUGUGGAAUAGACAGUUGAAUCGUGCUAGCGAGCAGUCAUAGUGAGCCAAUGUUGGGGCUCGAGAUGAAGAUGGACAUGGUGGACCUAUUCUCUAAACCAUUCGGGUGGUAAUGAGAAUUAAAGUAGAAACGUUAGAAGGCGUUUCUAGAGUUCGAAAAUCUAGAUGGUAUUUUCGAUGGAUUGUGUAGUGGUAAGGGCGUCACUGUUGUGGCAUGGUUAGAUGAUCGCCUGGUUUUGGCGAGUUAGUUAAGUUGUACCUCAAAUAAGUUGAGGAAUUGUGGUUGCGUAAUUGAGACAUAGGCUGAAUUGCCUAGCGUGAGAUGUCUGGCAAGAGACGCGAUAGUGUAGGACGCUUGAGUAUAACUGUCCGUAGAAUGUGGAUUCUGAUUCAGCCAGGAGAGUGUGUUGGCAGUAGCACUUGAGCGUUGCUAAGUGUGAAGCGUGCCAUGGAUCACUCGCGGGGCUGGUGGCUCGCACUAGGUGCUUAGGAGCCGAUAGUGAUACUUGUAGCUCUGUAGAGCAUUUCGUGUGAAACGACGUUGGCGUGUAGUGCUUGGGGACGAUCCGUGCCUGGACCCUUUUUGGACUGUGGAGCCUGGGCCCAUUGGGCAGACGCAGUCAGCUGCGAGAGGCAGCGGCCCGGUACCUACGGGUAGAGUAGAGAGUUUUGGUCAGGACAGUAGUCCGAGCAUAGACCCGAGUACGUGGAAUGACACGUGUUAGAUCGUGAGAUCGAGGACACACAGGGUGUGUAGCGACCCAACCCGAGGACUUUACGUGGUUUGGGGUCUUGGUUGCUCCUAGCUGGAGUGUGUGCGAAUUCUCCAACGAGAAUGUCGCCCGGUGAUGAUUGGGUUUGCACUUGCGAGCGAGAGACGCUAGGCGUCAUCGAGAUCGGUUUAGGCUGUAGGCCUACGUAGGGUUGGUGGCCCCUGGUCCACCUAUGGGAACCGAUGGUCGGUGUGACCGACAACUCUGAUAGUGAGUUUUGGCCUGAACCAUGAAUGGCGGGUUCAUAUAAAUUCGUUGCAAGAGCGAAUGGACAUUGAGAGUGGCUUGUAGCAUCCAAGGAUAAAGAGAAAGUAAAGUGGUCUCUAAGAGACACUUGAGUAAUGAAUAGCCACGGGAAAUGUUGGCGGAUUUUGCCGUCAGAUCAUUUGAGUGUGGAGCUGUUAGAAUUAAUCCCUUCAUUGAGAAGUGGAAAAAUUGUGUGUGAUUAAACACUCACAAUUGAGUGGUAUAUUGUGCUAUCACCGAUAGCAAUGCCAGCUGAGAAAUCAAAGUAGACUCCACUAGAGAGUAAUGAGUAUAGUGGAUGUUACCUGAUAAGUUGGUAUAUGAACCAAGGUGGUUUAUGAAUUUUGAGUACAAGUCAUACAGGAAUGAUCCCCACCAUGAGAAA
rnacentral:lncRNA from 1 species